CCUUUCCCCCAAUUUCUAAUUGUUAGUAGUCCCAUUAUUUCGUAUUCCCUACCUAUUAUAGGGUAUAAGUAAGCAAUCUUCAAAAACCUCUAGCGUCCAUACUUUUGUUUUAGAUGUUAAUGUUUCUCUUUUAUAACAUCUUUAUCUUUUUUUUCUCAAAUAACUCCCUUAAUAUUUCAAACUCGUCUUCAAGUGUUCAACA
rnacentral:lncRNA from 1 species